AAAGAACCUGAACCUCAGUGAGUCCAGGCACAGGGUUCAGGCCAUUCGUGCUGUCAGUUUCAGAAUGAAGCUCUCGAGCAGCAUACUGGCCCACCACACAAUGUCAUGAGUAAACUUUAUCACUGACAAAUUCAACUUUAAAAUGGGAAAUGGAGUUUCAAGCAGAAAAACGAGGAGCAUCGGAAAGCCAGCCUCCAACUAACACCUCAGCCAGAUUUUUGUGUGUACGUGCGAAACUUACACUUGCAAGUAUCUACUUCAUAAAGUAGUAAAGGAGGACUUUUGCCCUAAGAAUCAGUCAGAAUGGGCUCUUUUAUUGGUCCCUGGUCUUCUCCCGAGGAGGGUGACUGGCCAGAGUGCCCCGACCGGGUAGGGGACAAGAGAUUUUCUGAGGUUUUCCACGUCCCUCCUCACGAGCUGCCCUCUUUCCGUCCCUUUGAGACCUUCGAGGACCCGAGACAUGUCCAUUUCCUCCCUUCAUUAGGACUCGGAUCCGAAGGGUCUCUGUCUCUGCAGGUCUUCUGAGAGGCUCCAGUCUUGCACGUAAGGGAGUGUCUGAUGAGGAAGACCGUGCUUGUGGGAUUUGUGCUUUAUGUUCUGUGUUGACGUUGUGACGGCCAUUCUGCUGAGUGAAAGAGGAAGGUCUGGUUCUGUUCCACCGCAGAGCCCUGUCCAGAAUUCUGUCUGGCUGGAAAGAGGCUAAGACUGAGAAGAAAAAACAGUUUAACUGUAUGGCCACAGUAUUGUUUAGAGUCCAGAGAAAGGUGGUUUUUGCAUGUGCAAUUAAAAAAAAAUCAAGCUUGAGAAAACCUCUUUUCAGGAUUCUGAACUUGAGAGAAUAAGUCCUUCUAGGAGAACUUGCUUUUCUUGCAUUUGCCUUGACCUGGGCUCUCAGGAACACCUGUCUAGACCAUCUCUAAUUCCUGAGACUGAAAAGGAAAAAUUGGGAAAAGUCUUCAAAACUUAUUUUUAAGCUAGUGAGUUUUAUUUGUAAUAUCUGACUCAUAACUGGGCUUAGAAGAGGAAGCUAUGAGAUCUCUCUGUCCAUGUGUAUGUGCAUCACCUGUCUCACCUUUGGGAUGAUGUCAUCAGAAAUUAAAUGCAAAGGAGCCCUACCUAACUGGCUUAAAGGAAACAAAGUGCUUCUAUAAAUUCUCAAAUAUAGAAGGUAACUGGCCGGAAUAACGUUUAGGUUCACAUGAACUGAGAAAUAUUCCGUAUUAAAUUAAUAUCUAGCAUUAAAGCUAAAGUUUGUUAAUUAAUAGAGACAUGUCUUUAGACUUAUCAGCAUUCAGUAGAAUUCCUUAUUGUACCUAGGUUUCAUAGAAGUCAGGUGAGAUAGUGAGACAUCAAUUACAAACAGAAACUAAAGGUGUUUAGGACUAUUAUUACUGUGUUCGGUGUCACCCCGAGAUGUUCUCUGUAAGGAAAACAUGUUUUAGAAAUGAUAAAAGACAAUCCAUCAUUGCUUUAGAAAAGUAGCAUGUGUGUUUUCUUUGAAGAAGGAUGAGGAAGGGAAUUGCAUUUUAUCAAGGGAAAAAGGAGCAUUGUUUGUAGUUUGUUGCUCUGGAUGGAAAAAUAAGGGACAGACCAAUAUGGAUACAGAAAGUGAUGCAGGACGUGUGGGAAGUGGACAUUGAGAAAGGAGUUUUGUGCAUGGUUGGAACUGACAAAGUUUAGACUAAAAUUAAGUGUAAAUUGAUUUUGAAAGCAAGCUGCUGCAAAACUUGAAUUUGGCUUUUCUCUCUCUGCUAAGAGAACAAAGUCAUCUUGGAAUGGUACUUUUGACAACAGUUAUGUGGAGUUCUUUGCCUUUAAGUGAUCUGUAUUUUCUU